GAUGAAGAACGCAGCGAAAUGCGAUAACUAAUGUGAAUUGCAGAAUUCCGUGAAUCAUCGAGUCUUUGAACGCACAUUGCGCCCCCUGGUAUUCCGGGGGGCAUGCCUGUCGAGCGUCAUUGCUGCCCUCAAGCACGGCUUGUGUGUUGGGCCUCCGUCCUCCUCCCGGGGGACGGGCCCGAAAGGCAGCGGCGGCACCGCGUCCGGUCCUCGAGCGUAUGGGGCUUCGUCACCCGCUCUUGUAGGCCCGGCCGGCGCUUGCCGACACAUCAAUCUUCUUUCCAGGUUGACCUCGGAUCAGGUAGGGAUACCCGCUGAACUUAAGCAUAUCAAUAAGCGGAGGA
rnacentral:misc_RNA from 1 species